rnacentral:rRNA from 1 species
GUACACAAAAAUGCACAUACUGUGAGCUCGAUGAGUAGGGCGGGACACGUGGUAUCCUGUCUGAAUAUGGGGGGACCAUCCUCCAAGGCUAAAUACUCCUGACUGACCGAUAGUGAACCAGUACCGUGAGGGAAAGGCGAAAAGAACCCCGGCGAGGGGAGUGAAAAAGAACCUGAAACCGUGUACGUACAAGCAGUGGGAGCCUCUUAAUGGGGUGACUGCGUACCUUUUGUAUAAUGGGUCAGCGACUUAUAUUCUGUAGCAAGGUUAACCGAAUAGGGGAGCCGAAGGGAAACCGAGUCUUAACUGGGCGUUAAGUUGCAGGGUAUAGACCCGAAACCCGGUGAUCUAGCCAUGGGCAGGUUGAAGGUUGGGUAACACUAACUGGAGGACCGAACCGACUAAUGUUGAAAAAUUAGCGGAUGACUUGUGGCUGGGGGUGAAAGGCCAAUCAAACCGGGAGAUAGCUGGUUCUCCCCGAAAGCUAUUUAGGUAGCGCCUCGUGAAUUCAUCUCCGGGGGUAGAGCACUGUUUCGGCAAGGGGGUCAUCCCGACUUACCAACCCGAUGCAAACUGCGAAUACCGGAGAAUGUUAUCACGGGAGACACACGGCGGGUGCUAACGUCCGUCGUGAAGAGGGAAACAACCCAGACCGCCAGCUAAGGUCCCAAAGUCAUGGUUAAGUGGGAA